CUAUUGCAGCAGUCAGUGAGUCCCCUGGGCAGUAAAGGUCCCCUGGCUCCACAUGAAAAGGCCAUUAAACAGAGCUUCAACAACAUCAAACAGGUCCUGACUGUGCCUCCUGACAGUGUGGACCCACCCAGACUACCUCCUGACCAGGCUGAAUGGAUGAACUCGCUGACAGGCUCGCUGCUGACUACAGUAUCAGGGUUCCCUCCUGAGCUAAGGAGACCCAUGCAGCCUGUAAUCAGCUUCCUACAGAACCAUCAGUGACCCAUGCAGUCUGUACUCAGCUUCCUACAGAACCAUCAGUAGCACAGGCAGUCUGUACUCAGCUUCCUACAGAAUCAUCAGUAACACAGUCUGACGUACAUCUGCUUGGAGAUUAGCAGACAACCACUAUGUUCCUCAGGAGUUAUGGGCUGAUUAGUAUUAGAAUACGUUGAUAAAUGUUAGACAUCCAGGUAAUAAGAUAUGCCAAAAAGCAGAUACUCAAAGAACUGGAUAUGAUUUUGGAAACGGUUAGAUGUUUCAGACGUCAGUGCCACUGACAAAAGACACUGGAUGGUGUCUGAAAUGUCUAGCCACUUCCAAAAUCAUCAUAUCCUGUUGCUUGAGUAACUGUUUUUUGGCAUAAUAAUAGAAUACUUACAUGUUGGCAAUCCAUUCGAUAUGGGACCCUUGAACUUUAUAUUAAGUGCAUUAAAGCUACAUUUUACAUGAUAUGAAAAUAGCUGCAGACAUGCCAUCAAAAGAUCACAGUGUAAAAUUUCUUGACCAUUCUUGUAUGAGACAUACAAUGUACAUGUACAGGCACAUAUUGAAAAUUGGACAUUGGAUAAAAUUCAACAAUUUUCAAAAGUCACUGAUACCUGGAUUUCCUCUAAAUCCAUUUUGGAUAAAAUUUUACUGAACUAAAACUCAAACAAAUUCAAUUCUUUCACUUAUAGAGAAUAGCGUAUUCCUUUUCUAUGUUGCUCUUUAAUUUCCUUUAGUCAAAAGAUUGAAUAAGACUUGGUUCAUCAGCAUCUUACUUUUAUAGUUCAUUGCACAUUGGAGCUGAUAGAUAUGUAUCUAUUUUCCUUGUUAUGUCAGGAGCCUGUAUGUAUAUUUUGAUUCUGUUAUCAAUAAUGCAUAUCAUAUAUUUAUCAUUAAGUCAUUAAGUUGUAUUUUCAGCAAUAAUUGAUUGGAUUGUAUCUAUUCAGACAUCAUUUUCAGGUGUAGAACCUAAAAGGUUUAUAGUUAAAGAUAUGCAAAUGAAAUGCUAUUGUCUACAAUAGGUACAUGACUUAUUCUAGCAUAAUUUUUGUGGUUCUUUUGUGGUUCUUCAGUCACCCAUAGUCAUAUGUUUGUAUUACCUUUGUCAAAAAGGAUGUUUUGGUAUUUUUUUUAAAUAUUUGUAUAUAUGUAUGUAUGUAUGUAUGUUUGUAUGUAUGUAUGUAUGUAUGUAUGUAUGCAGGUGAGACCACGCGGCGUAGUCAACGGCUUGUUCGGCUCAGGCCCAAGAGGUUUAGUAGCAUCACACAAGAAGCUUUGACGAAUGGAUUGUCAUGAAAUCUAGUGUGACUUGUCCUUUAAAAAAAAUUAUAACAUUUUUAAAUUUCUGGCAGCUUUCCUUGGUACUGAAGCAGAACGUCCGUUUUUGAUAUCUCGUGUGUUGGACAAACAACUAUCCCAUUUUUUGGGGGUGGUACAUCGCCAUUGUG